rnacentral:ncRNA from 2 species
AUGGAUCUUCGGGGUAGGGUGCAAUUCCCAACCGGCGGUGAGCAUUUUGCUUCUUAAAAGAAUAAAAUGUAAGCCCGCGACUCGCUGUUUUGAUACUAAGAUAGCGACUGACUUGGUGAGAUUCCAAGGCCGACGGUACAGUCCGGAUGAGAGAAGAUCAAC